rnacentral:ncRNA from 2 species
UCACGUCUUCAGGGCGGGGUGAAAAUCCCCACCGGCGGUAAGUCCAGCGGUGGACGAGCCCGCGAGCGCUUGCGAUUCCGCAAGGUCAGCAGAUCUGGUGCGAUGCCAGAGCCGACGGUUACAGUCCGGAUGAGAGAAGAUGUCG